CCUACGGGAGGCUGCAGUGAGGAAUAUUGGUCAAUGGGCGAGAGCCUGAACCAGCCAAGUCGCGUGAGGGAGUACUGCCCUAUGGGUUGUAAACCUCUUUUGUCGGGGAGCAAAAGCCGGACGUGUCCGGCUGUGAGAGUACCCGAAGAAAAAGCAUCGGCUAACUCCGUGCCAGCAGCCGCGGUAAUACGGAGGAUGCGAGCGUUAUCCGGAUUUAUUGGGGUUAAGGGGUGCGCAGGCGGAUUUUUAAGUCAGCGGUCAAAUCGUGGGGCUCAACCCCAUCCAGCCGUUGAAACUGGGGAUCUAGAGUGUGCGAGAGGUAUGCGGAAUGCGUGGUGUAGCGGUGAAAUGCAUAGAUAUCACGCAGAACCCCGAUUGCGAAGGCAGCAUACCGGUGCACAACUGACGCUCAGGCACGAAAGCGUGGGUAUCGAACAGGAUUAGAUACCCCAGUAGUC
rnacentral:rRNA from 1 species